rnacentral:misc_RNA from 1 species
GAUGAAGAACGUAGCGAAAUGCGAUAAGUAAUGUGAAUUGCAGAAUUCAGUGAAUCAUCGAAUCUUUGAACGCACAUUGCGCCCGCCAGUAUUCUGGCGGGCAUGCCUGUUCGAGCGUCAUUUCAACCAUCAAGCUCUGCUUGCGUUGGGGAUCCGCGGCUGCCCGCGGUCCCUCAAAACCAGUGGCGGGCUCGCUAGUCACACCGAGCGUAGUAACUUUACAUCGCUAUGGUCGUGCGGCGGGUGCUUGCCGUAAAACCCCCCAAUUUUUAAGGUUGACCUCGGAUCAGGUAGGAAUACCCGCUGAACUUAAGCAUAUCAAUAGCGGAGGA